AGAGGAAGAGCGGUGAAAAAUAAAAAUGUAUAGAAUAAUUGGUUGGAUUAUCAGUAAUACC
rnacentral:sRNA from 1 species